rnacentral:tRNA from 1 species
GGGAGUGUUGCUCAGCGGUGAGUAGCUGGCCGCUCAUAACGAUCCGGUCGCAGGUCCGAAGCCUGCCAGUUCCACCA